AUAAACUCUGAAGAGAUACGCGGG
rnacentral:siRNA from 1 species